GGUGGCUCAGUGGUAGAGCGCUCAUCUUGUAAGCAUGAGGCCCUGGGUUCGAUUACCCAGCACCA
rnacentral:tRNA from 1 species